GACGCAAAUAACGAGUGACAACGAACCAAAAUGUAUUGAAUUUAUUGUGUGAACCAUUUGUCAUUUGCCAGGUCAUAUAAGAAGUCAAGAGUCCACUAAAAGCGGAAUAAUUAAUAACUUUGCUGCAAUAUUUCGAUGGUAAAAAGAUGUCCAUUUGAUCUUACCUGAUCAAGAAAAAAGUAUCAACAGUAAGUGAAGCAUUUAAAAGGGCUUGAACACCGAAUGGUUUGAUUAGGUCGAUAAUGUUGAAUGAAUGGCCUGGACAAAAGAUCAAUGUUUUGGAGAAAAGUUAUAAUAGAUUCAUGCAAAAAUCACUCAAAGUAUGACCGAAGACAAUCCAGGACAUUGUUAAAACUCGGAUUCCGUUAAGACAUUUUAAUUCUGGAUGUUUUGGACUUGAAUAGAACAGCGAAAUGAAGUUUCUUUUGAUCGAGAAAGCAAGUAACAAUGAACUGAACAACGAAUUGUCUGUUUCUAUCGAAAGAGUACAUUUUUCGAGCAACUUUCAAAAAAGAAACCAAGGAAAACAACUAUUACAGGCUAGUUUCGUGAAAUCGAAUCAUUGACGUCAAAGUUUAGCGAAUUACUCUCAAUACAUACUAAUUUUAACGAUGGAAUCAAUUUCUUUUUGAUUACAAUGAGUUGUCAAGCAAACACCGAUCCUUGUCGGAAUGUAG